rnacentral:lncRNA from 10 species
UGAAGUUAAUCUUUUCAGAGAACUAGCACUUGCCUUUGUUAAUUUUCUCUAUUGUCUGUUUUCUACUUUUUUAAAAUAAAGUUAUGCUCCUAUCUUUAUUAUUUCCUUCCUUUCAUCUACAAUUUAUUUAACUUACUCUUCUUUCUGUAACUUCUCAAAGUGGAAUGUAAGGUGACUGAUUUUAGAUUUUUUCUUUCUGAAUAUUGGCACUUAAAACUAUGUUUCAGCCGAGCAUGGUGGCUGACGCUGGUAAUUCCACCACUUUGGAAGGCCAAGAUGUGAGGAUCACUUGAACCCGGGAGUUCCAGACCAGCCUGGACAGCAUAGUGAGAUUCUGUCUCUAUGCAAAAUAAAAUAAAAUAAAAAAUUAUCCAGGCACGGUGGCAUGCGCCUGUAGUUCCAGCUACUUGGGAGGCUGAGGCAAGAGGAUUGCUGGAACCCAGGAAGUUGAGGAUGCAAUAAGCUUGAUCACGCCACCACACUCCAGUCUGGGCGACGGAGCGAGACCCUGCCUCAAGAGAACAAACAACAACAACAGAAACCUAUGUUUCCCUCUAUGCACUGCUUUAGCUCGUUCAAUUUAAAAUAGUCUCUAAUUUCCCUCGUAUGUCUUUUAUGAUCCAUAAAUAAUUUAUAAGGGUGCUGUUUAAUUUCCAAAUAUUUGUGAUUUCCUCUGAAAUAGAUUAUUCCCACUGACUUAUUUCUGAUUUGUUUCACACAGUGUGCUUUGUAUGAUUUUAAUACAUUUAAAUUCAUUUAAAAUUGUUUUAUGGCCCAACAUAUGGUCAGUCUUGAAAAAUGUACUUCUUUUCACUUGAAAAGAAGUGUGUUUUUCAGUUCUAUAAAUGGUGUCCUAUGAAUUUCAAUUAGAUCAUGGGAGUUGAUAAUGUUAAAAUCUUCUAAGUCUACUGAUUUUUAAAAAUCUAGCUGUUGUAUUAAUUGGUAAGAAGAGUCUUAAAUAUAAUACUCUGACUGUAAAAUAGUCUAUUUUUUCUUUUCAUUCUGUCGAUUUUUGCCUGAUGUAUUUUGAAACUCUGUUCUUAGGUCUAUACACAUUUAUAAUUAUGUCUACACACAUUUAUAAUUAUGUCUACCUGAUCAAUUGUUCUUUUUUCUCAUAAUAAAAU